UACGUAGGGGGCAAGCGUUGUCCGGAAUCAUUGGGCGUAAAGAGGGCGUAGGUGGCUUUGUAAGUCAGGGGUGAAAGCCCUGGGCUCAACCCAGGAAGUGCAUUUGAGACUGCGUAGCUAGGGUGCGGAAGAGGGAAGCGGAAUUUCCGGUGUAGCGGUGAAAUGCGUAGAUAUCGGAAGGAACACCAGUGGCGAAAGCGGCUUCCUGGUCCAGCACCGACGUUCAGGCACGAAAGCGUGGGGAGCAAACAGG
rnacentral:rRNA from 1 species